rnacentral:rRNA from 1 species
CACGUAGUUAGCCGGAGCUUAUUCCUCAGGUACCGUCAAAUUCCUCUUUCUUCCCUGAUAAAAGAACUUUACAUUACGAAUAACUUCUUCGUUCACGCGGCGUUGCUCGGUCAGGGUUCCCCCCAUUGCCGAAAAUUCCCUACUGCUGCCUCCCGUAGGAGUAUGGACCGUUCUCAGUCCACUGUUGGCGUCUACCACCUCA